CCCCGCGUCUCUCUCAGCCAAUCGGCCUCUGAUACCCCACCCCUUCCGCUCUAGGGAAAAACUAGCUCCCAGGGCGUCUUCCGGCGGGAGCUGUGCUGCUCCUUAUCAUGGGGACAAUUCAUCUCUUUAGAAAACCACAGAGAUCUUUUUUUGGCAAGUUACUACAGGAAUUUAGACUUGUAGCAGCUGACCGAAGGUCCUGGAAGAUACUGCUCUUUGGUGUAAUAAAUUUAACAUGUACUGGCUUCCUGCUUAUGUGGUGCAGUUCUACGAACAGUAUAGCUUUAACUGCCUAUACUUACUUGACCAUAUUUGACCUUUUUAGUUUAAUAACAUGUUUGAUAAGUUACUGGGUAAUGAUGAGGAAACCUAGCCCUGUCUAUUCAUUUGGAUUUGAAAGAUUAGAAGUCUUGGCUGUAUUUGCCUCCACAGUCUUGGCACAAUUGGGAGCUCUCUUUAUAUUAAAAGAAAGUGCAGAACGCUUUCUGGAGCAGCCCGAGAUACACACGGGAAGAUUAUUAGUUGGUACUUUUGUGGCUCUUUCCUUCAACUUGUUCACAAUGCUUUCUAUUCGGAAUAAGCCUUUUGCUUAUGUCUCUGAAGCUGCUAGUACGAGUUGGCUUCAAGAGCAUGUUGCAGAUCUUAGUCGAAGCCUGUGUGGAAUUAUUCCAGGACUUAGCAGCAUCUUCCUUCCCCGAAUGAAUCCAUUUGUUUUGAUUGAUCUUGCUGGAGCAUUUGCUCUUUGUAUUACAUAUAUGCUAAUUGAAAUUAAUAAUUAUUUUGCUGUGGACACUGCUUCUGCCAUAGCCAUUGCUCUGAUGACAUUUGGCACUAUGUAUCCCAUGAGCGUGUACAGUGGCAAAGUAUUACUGCAGACAACGCCACCCCAUGUUAUUGGUCAGUUGGACAAACUUAUCAGAGAGGUAUCUACCUUGGAUGGAGUUUUAGAAGUUCGAAAUGAGCAUUUUUGGACCCUAGGUUUUGGCUCACUGGCCGGAUCAGUGCAUGUAAGAAUUCGACGGGAUGCAAAUGAACAAAUGGUUCUUGCUCAUGUGACCAACAGGCUGUACACUCUGGUGUCUACUUUGACCGUUCAAAUUUUCAAGGAUGAUUGGAUUAGACCUGCCUUACUGUCUGGGCCUGUUGCAGCCAAUGUCCUAAACUUUUCAGAUCAUCACAUAAUUCCAAUGCCUCCUUUAAAGGGUACUGAUGAUUCAAACCCUGUUACAUCGACUCCAGCUAAACCUAGUAGUCCACCUCCAGAAUUUUCAUUUAACACCCCUGGAAAAAACGUGAGCCCAGUCAUUCUGCUCAACACCCAAACAAGACCUGGUUUGGGUCUUAAUCAUGGACACACACCUUACAGUAGUAGCUUGCUUAAUCAAGGACUUGGAGUUCCAGGAAUUGGAGUAACCCAAGGAUUCAGGACUGGUUUUACAAAUAUGCCAAGUAGAUACGGAGCUAACAAUAGAACUGGACAACCAAGACCAUGAUGUACUGCAAUCUAACUUAUUUUUAUGAGGAACAUUGACUCCUUGAUUCCAUUUUAUUUACUAAUCCAGCUGUGCACUGACUGUUCAAUCGUUUACUCUAAAUGAUAGAGAAUAGUAGGUUUGUUCACAUUACAUGAAACUGAUGAAAGUACCUUUUUGUAAAUGUAUUUGAGGCUGUGAGAACCUUCUAAAUGUUAUAGGGUUUGAAAUUUAGGCUUCCUUUAGAAAGCGUGUUUCUCUGAAUUUAAAUUUUGUUAUUUGGUUUUGUAGUUGAUUGCAGUGUGAUAGACAUUAUAAGAGAACCACUUGAUGGAACAAAUCUGUCACAUUAUUAAAAGUGUAAUAUUUUCUUCAAUGAAAUUUAUAAACAUGCUUCUUGAAUAAUGACAUACAUUUUAAGAAUGGGAAAAAAAAUCCAUUCUGAAAGUAAAAGUCUCUUUUAUAGUUUUCCAAACUUAAUUGCUACAUUUUUUUGAGGUCCUCUUGAUUUAUGUCUUGCAAAAGAAAGAAAAAGUUUUUAUCAAAAAUUUUAAAGCAUAUUCUGUCUAGCAUAAUUUGAAAUUUUUAAUUAUCAAAAUUUUUUUAGUUUUUUCAUUAAAAUAUUUCAGUACACUUCUAAAUAGUCUGUGGUUCUCAAAGUGUUUUAUUUUGGUUAAGUGAAUACCAAAUCCUUUGGUAAUGUGCAGUGAAGGAAUCCACUUUUCUAUAUAACAUAUAAUCAAAUUGACAUAAUGAAACAAAAACAAACCCCCAAAGUACUGACAUAAUGAUGAAAUUUAUCUUUUUUGUCACCUUUCCAUUGGUUGACUUUACUCUCUCACUUUAUUAACAAAAUAUAUCAGAUAUAUUACCAAAAUAUAUAGAAUUCCAUGCAUAAUGUGGGAUUUGAUAUCUUUUCAAAGUUGCAUAAACAAUUUGAGUUAACAUUAUAUAAUUUUACCAAAACAUAAUAGAUCCUACAUUAUAGAGUACAGUAUUGUUAUAUCUGUAACAGGAAAUUUCCAACUUAUUUUGUUUUGCUUUGUCAAAAUCAUAAAUUGUUAACUGUGAUGAAGUGUGAGGAUCAUGUGGAUUAUCUUGUUUUUUGAUUAUUUUCCAAAUGCGGAUGUUAAGGACUUGCCAACAUGGUCAGUAUUACUUAUAAAAAGUAUCACAAGCAGCAGUCACAAAUUACCUGAGGUAAUUUUUAAAAUUUAAUCUUGAGUUUUGUAAUUAGAGUUUUAAAAAGGUAUUUUGAGAGUGGAUUCAACUUUUCUGGAAUCGAGUACUCCUGGAGAUUUAUGAUUUUUCCAGCCAUAGCCAGCUAUGUAGAGAAGAUUUUUGUUUUUGUAGAAUUUGCAAGUUGCUUCAAUCAGCUCAUCCUCUUUUAAAUAUGAGCAGCACUUCCAAAUCUGAUUUCACAGUGGAAUAACAUCCAAGAAGCCAUCUUUGUCAAGCAGAGUUAUAGUCAUCCUGUAAUAAGUGGCCAUGUCCCAACUUUUGCUUGGUGAGGAGUUUGUCACUGUCUUUAACAUCCGCAACCCUGUUCAGGCAUUUGACCUGCUAAAGAAAUAGACCCCACACUACCUUGACUGCUGGGAAAAAUGAAAUUUUGUAAAUGUAAUAAGGCAAUCUGUUCCUUGUCCUUUGUCUUAUGUUCUCCAACUAUUAGUAUACCUAUUAUUGGUCUACUAUUACAGGGUGAUUUUUUCCUCCAUUGACCUCAUCUAAGUGGGUCACGCAUGAAAUCUGAAGAACUGCCAUGUACUGAGUGAUGAUUAAGAGGUAUGUGCUGCCCCCCUCCACCCCCCCGCAUGUCUUCUCCAUUCUCAUGGGAUUUUUAAAGUGUAGAGAACACAAUUCUGCAUGAAGUUAAAUGCCUGUUUCCUCAUCACGCAUUCAGAGGCAACACCUGUGUAGUUGUCCCACCAAAGGUGCUUUGAUACCCACCUGCACUGUUUAAGAAGUUUGCUGUGGGUUCUGGAGGAAUUGGCUCUACUUCCUGAAAUUCACUGAUGCCGACUGCUAUAGGUAACAUUGGUCCAUUCAUGAUUAUAUAAAGCAGUCUUAUUUGCCAAGCUCUGGCCAGAUUCUGGAUAUGAAAACAAGAAACUUGGCCAACCUAGGACUAUGGGCAAUAGCCUUGCUUGUAAAUCUUGCCACAGAGUCACUUGAAGCUAAACAAGGAAGUUUGAAUUGAAUAUUUGGCUCAUUGUUUGUGAUUAAGAGCAAGUUCUAUGGAGUGUAAUUAACUCCGUCUCAGAAAACGCCAUACUGUAAUGGAAAAACACUGGACUAGAAGUCAGGAGAUUUGGAUUCUGAUCCUGACGCUGCCAUUAUUUUCCUUCCUGUGUGUCUCCUUUACUGUGCAUACAGAACACUUCAGACAUUUCUGGUCGUCAAAUGUGUGGAGGCUUUUCCCCCCACCUGGAAAUUCUGUGCAACACCAGGCUGAGGAAGCUUUUUUAAAAAAAGGAAGAUAAGCCUAGUAUCUUGAAGCCCACCGAGGAAAAUGAUCACGGUACCGUUUAUUGAACAUAGACAAUGGGUCAAUGUUGAACUUCUUACUUUAUAUACAUUAGUUUUAUAACUGACUGGCACAGUAACUGCUAAUAUGGUUGGUAUUACAGUGACUCUCGCUUGACAGAUGAGCAGACCGAGGCUCAGAGACUUUUAGUUGCUACAGGCCAUCCAUCUAUCAAUGGAAAGGGUGGGCAGAUCUGACCCCAAAAGCAGGGCACUCACCACUCCACAAAGAUGGAGCCUCUAGAUAGCAGCCUCAUCACCUGGGAGAGACCAAAGGCAGAGAAUACUUGGUUUUCACUCCAGCUUAUGGCUCAAGCACAAGCAGACUGCUUUUCCUACUUGUGGGAGGUGAAAGAAAUGUCUGGAGGGGACUAGGGUAGGGACCAGCAGCCACACUGUCUCCUCACAUCUUCAACUCUUGCUCUUCUGUCUGCAACCCUUUCUUUCCCUGCUUUAGUAUGACUACCUUAUGUCUCUGCCUUUUUAUAAAACAGGGAUAAUGUUAUCUGUUAUUAGGGAUGUAAUGAUAAUUCCACAAGUUCUUCUUUAAAACAUUUUGAGAAUAAAGUAGUUACUGCUAUUGACUUGUUCAUUUUAUACUUUUUUUUUUUUUACUUGCAUUUGAGGGUACAUUCUUACAGAUCUAUUUCCCAGAGCCAGCUGCCUUUUGUUACUCUUAUUUUUCUCAUUUACAUGUGGAGGCUAUAAGGCCCUGGGCAACUAAAGUCAAGUGGCAAAUUACUGCCUAGCUCAGUUCUUACUUAAUUAAAUGUACCGUCUCUUUCUCUGGUCUCACUGGCCAGCCUGAGAAGUGGGCAAAUCAGGCAGCUAACUACUUAAAUAUGUGAAAGAUGCUAAAAGGCCUCUACCUAAAAAUGCCUCCCAAACAAAUGAUUCUAAUUCUACACACUUUCCAGUGGCCUGAAAAAGACACAUCCCUUGUGGAGAAAGGGGAACCCUCUUACACUAUUGGUGGGAAUGCAAACUGGUGCAGCCACUCUGGAGAACAGUAAGGAGAUUCUUCAAAAAGUUAAAAAUAGAACUACCCUGUGACCCAGCAAUUGCACUACUAGGUAUUUAUCCAAAGGGUACAAAAAUAUUGAUUCAAAGGGGUAUAUGCACCCAAUGUUUAUAGCAGUGCUGUCAACAAUAGCCAAAUAUCUAUCUCUCUAUCUCUCUAUCUAUCUAUAUCUAUACCUAUCACGGAAUAUUACUUGGCAUUCAGAAAGAAUGAAAUCUUGCCAUUUGCCAUGAUGUGUAUGGCGCUAAAGUAUAUUAUGCUAAGCAAAAUAAGUUAGUCAGAGAAAGGCAAAUACUAUAUGAUUCUACUCAUGUGGAAUUUAAGAAACAAAAUAUGAACAUAGAGGAAAGGAAGGAAAAAUAGAGAGGGAGACAAACCAUAAGAAACUCUUCAUAUAGAGAACAAACUGAGGGCUGCUGGAGGGGAAAUGGGUGGAGGGAUGAGCUAAGUGGGUGAUGGGCAUUAAGGACACUUGUGAUGAGCACUGGGUGUUAUAUGUAAGCGACAAAUCCCUAAAUUCUACUCCUGACCCCAAUGCUACACUAUGUAUGAGCUCAUUUGAAUUUCAAUAAAAAUUUGGAAGAAAAAAACACA